UCCCAUCUAAAGUGUGUGGUCUGUGUUGUGUUCUGUGGUUUGUGUGUUAUAGGAGACGUAACAGAGUCGAUCUAGUUCCCGGUUUCCAUGUGACAACAAACUCGUUAAAAAUAUCCGAAAUAAAAGUGUAAUACGAAUGGAUGAAUAUGCUCCGGCAGGUCCAGGUUGGUGUGCUCCACGACUAUUCAAUAAAAAUCAAUCCGAAUUAAUACCGAACGUAACGUGGUGUGGUUGAAACGCACACAUUCGGAAAACAAACAACAGCUGAUCCGGUCGAAUUUUGGAUAUAAGUAUGCUGUGGGACGUUUUCCAGUUUGAGUCUAGGGGAACAUUGACGAAGAAGGAAAAAAUUUUCUCCCGUCCCCUGAUGAGGACGAGCUUUCUCUCGACGCAAGUACAUCCGCUCCUCCCAGCGUCAGAGUCGCGGAUUCAAUCUCAGAAGUACCUAUAAGACGUGACGUCGCGACGCGCACCUGAGUUACAACCAAUAUGCCAGCCUGCUCUUCAGGAUCGGGGAUCAGCCCCCUUUGUGGUGGGUGGUUGAUUUUAGUUUUAUAAGUAUUUCAUAUAUUGAAUGUUAAAAUAAAGUUAAUAAAGAAAAAUAGUUGUGGUAUUUAA